rfam:Paenibacillus darwinianus strain Br genomic scaffold scaffold17, whole genome shotgun sequence.
AAUAUUCGAAUACGCAUACCGUAGACAGUAGGUGCCGACUAGGCUUAAUUUCCUACCGAGGUGUUAUGAUACACGCGAACGUCGCGCCCGAAAUCUUCCGGUGAGGCGGCAUUGCGAUCAUGGCCUUCGCAGUCUAUGCGAAGGCCUUUCUCAUGCAUCAA